UGAAUACGAGACGCUAAGGCGUCGAAGUAGUGUAUGUCAUACUUCCAAGAAAAGCUUGCACUGUCAUAGAUAAAAAACGCCUGUACCAUAACCGACACAGGUGGGUAGGUAGAGUAUACUAAGGGGCGCGAGAUAACUCUCUCUAAGGAACUCGGCAAAAUAACUCCGUAACUUCGGGAGAAGGAGUGCCUUAUUAUUAAGGCUGCAAUAACAAGAUCCAAGCAACUGUUUAUCAAAAACACAGGUCUCCGCUAAGUCGUAAGACGACGUAUGGGGGCUGACGCCUGCCCAGUGCCAGAAGGUUAAAGAAGUUGGUUAGCAUUUGCGAAGCUGAUAACUGAAGCCCUGGUGAACGGCGGCCGUAACGAUAACGGUCCUAAGGUAGCGAAAUUCCUUGUCGGGUAAGUUCCGACCCGCACGAAAGGCGUAAUGAUUUGGAUACUGUCUCGGAGAGGGGCUCGGAGAAAUAGACUUGUCUGUGAAGAUGCGGACUACCUGCACCAGGACAGAAAGACCCUAUGAAGCUUUACUGUAACUUGAAAUUGAAAUUGGACUUUAUUCGCGCAGCAUAGGUGGGAGGCGUUGAUUAUAAUCUUGUGGGAUUAUUGGAGCCAUCAGUGAGAUACCACUCUUGUAAUGUUAGAUUUCUAACUUUGAAUCAUUAUCUGGUCAAAGAACAGUUUCAGGCGGGCAGUUUGACUGGGGCGGUCGCCUCCUAAACGGUAACGGAGGCGUACAAAGGUUUCCUCUGAACGGUUAGAAAUCGUAUCUAGAGUGUAAAGGCAUAAGGAAGCUUGACUGUGAGACCUACAAGUCGAGCAGGGACGAAAGUCGGUCUUAGUGAUCUGACGGUACUGAGUGGAAAGGCCGUCACUCAACGGAUAAAAGUUACUCUAGGAUAACAGGCUGAUCUCCCCCAAGAGUUCACAUCGACGGGGAGGUUUGGCACCUCGAUGUCGGCUCAUCGCAUCCUGGGGCGGUAGUACGUCCCAAGGGUUGGGCUGUUCGCCCAUGAAAGCGGUACGCGAGCUGGGUUCAGAACGUCGUGAGACAGUUCGGUCCAUAUCCGGUGUAGGCGUUAGAAUAUUGAGAGGAGCCUUCUUUAGUACGAGAGGACCGAGAAGGACAUACCUCUGGUGUACCAGUUAUCGUGCCAACGGUAAACGCUGGGUAGCUAUGUAUGGAGUGGAUAACCGCUGAAAGCAUCUAAGUGGGAAGCCCACCUCAAGAUAAGUAUUC
rnacentral:rRNA from 1 species